CAGGUGCGAAAGCAGGUCAUAGUGAUCCGGUGGUUCUGAAUGGAAGGGCCAUCGCUCAACGGAUAAAAGGUACUCCGGGGAUAACAGGCUGAUACCGCCCAAGAGUUCAUAUCGACGGCGGUGUUUGGCACCUCGAUGUCGGCUCAUCACAUCCUGGGGCUGAAGUAGGUCCCAAGGGUAUGGCUGUUCGCCAUUUAAAGUGGUACGCGAGCUGGGUUUAGAACGUCGUGAGACAGUUCGGUCCCUAUCUGCCGUGGGCGCUGGAGAACUGAGGGGGGCUGCUCCUAGUACGAGAGGACCGGAGUGGACGCAUCACUGGUGUUCGGGUUGUCAUGCCAAUGGCACUGCCCGGUAGCUAAAUGCGGAAGAGAUAAGUGCUGAAAGCAUCUAAGCACGAAACUUGCCCCGAGAUGAGUUCUCCCUGAGACUUUAGGUCUCCUGAAGGAACGUUGAAGACGACGACGUUGAUAGGCCGGGUGUGUAAGCGCAGCGAUGCGUUGAGCUAACCGGUACUAAUGAACCGUGAGGCUUAACCUU
rnacentral:rRNA from 1 species